UAUACAUCUCUUAGUAAGGUACUUUUUAAAGCAUAUACAUAAUUUACGGCAUUUUACAUAACUUACUAAAACAAAAAUUGUGGCCAGUUAAACUCUUACAACAGUAUAGAAUGUGGCCAUAACAGUCCCUAUGGGAAGAACAGGACAGAGAGUGACAUACUUGAAAUGUUUCCCCAGGAGAGUUUGGCAUUCUUUCGAUAAGGGUAGUCUUUAACCUUCAUUGAAGAAAUCUUUUUGCAACAGUAAGCGACCACUCCAGAAAACAACAACCAAUAAAAAUGCAGAGUCGUGGAGCUCCGUCCAAACAGUUACAUCAACAAUCAGACUGCACCUUCACUCCAGGUUCAGAGAUCAUUUCAGAAGAGGGAUUGGAAAAUUACAAGUGCCCGAGGAACUGGGAGUUUGCUGACUGGAAAGAUGGCUCAAAGGGUAGAGGCGCAAGCCUGAGACCUGUGUUUGAUCCUGGGAACAGAGGAAAAGGUGAAAGAAAAGAACUGACUCCACAAAGUCUUCUCCCUUCCACAUGAGAGUAGGGCAUGCACACCCAUGCAUGUGCUUUAUGAAUGCACACACAAUAAUAAAUUAAUUUUUUAAAAAAACUUGAAAGUAUAUAAAAAAAUCCCAUUUUGAUAGGCUUGGUAAGCUUGAUAGGAUAAAGCAGGUUUGUUUCAUCCACUUGAGACUUUCUGAGAGGUACUUAAGUCAUAUGGAAAUCAAAUCUUCCCAUUCUGUUUCAAUAACAAUGAAUUUUAGUUAUUCCUGUCACAAUUUUAGUUUGUUUUAAUAGUGCAGGGCAUGGUGUAUAUAGACUACAAAACACCAAGGUUAAACCAGUCAACCAAAUUCCAUGAUGUUCAUAGCAUGACUUCAGGGAGGCUUUACUUAGUCAAAAACAUUUUCUAAUAACAUUCAAUUUUUGAGGGCUAUAAUAUCCUAGCCAUGUCAGUGUUUUCAUUAGGUUAAACUUGCUCAUACCACCCCAUGGAAGAAACAUUGGAAAGCCUAUGAGGAAGAAGGGUGCAGAGUGUGAUUUGUGCAUGUCCAAGUAGUGAACUAUGACUGAGCAAGCAUGGCAGUCGAUAGUUAGUGAUCUCGUAUCUCCCUUUGCUGAAAUCUUUGCUACUCAGGCAUCCAAUAGAUGACACUUUACUACUGUUAAUUAUUAUCACUAAAACAUUUUCACAUGAUCUUUGUAGGAUUAUCUCAACAACUCAGCUUUGGAAACAAUAAACAUACAGAAUAGGAAGUCAGUAAAAUGUACUAUUGAUGUGACAGGCAAUCUUGUUUAUAACAAUUAGAGUUAUUUAAAACUUCAGUGCAUUCUAAAGAAGAAGGAAAGGAAGGAGGGAGGGAGGGAGGGAAAGGAGGAGGAGAUGAGGGAGGAAGGGAAGAUAGAUAGAUGGAUGGAUGGAAGGACAGGUGGAUGAAUAAGUAGAUGGAUCUCCUAUAGUUCAGGUUGGUGCCCAAAUCACCUUGAAGCCAAAGAUAAACUCUGAACUUUUGGCCCACCUGUCCGUACUUCCCAAAUGCCACCAUGUCUGGUUUAUAUGAUGGUUGGGUUCACAUAGGACUUUCAGCAAACUACACAAGGAUUUACUGACCUAGCUAUAUUUCUGGCUCAAAAAAGGAAUUUUUAAAAGUCAUUAAUGAUAUAUUAUUGCUAAUUCUAAAUCUGCACAUAUAUUUAACAGUGUCCACACAGUGUUUA
rnacentral:lncRNA from 1 species